rnacentral:rRNA from 1 species
AACAUGCAGUCGAACGGCAGCACGGGUGCUUGCACCUGGUGGCGAGUGGCGAACGGGUGAGUAAUACAUCGGAACAUGUCCUGUAGUGGGGGAUAGCCCGGCGAAAGCCGGAUUAAUACCGCAUACGAUCACGGAUGAAAGCGGGGGACCUUCGGGCCUCGCGCUAUAGGGUUGGCCGAUGGCUGAUUAGCUAGUUGGUGGGGUAAAGGCCUACCAAGGCGACGAUCAGUAGCUGGUCUGAGAGGACGACCAGCCACACUGGGACUGAGACACGGCCCAGACUCCUACGGGAGGCAGCAGUGGGGAAUUUUGGACAAUGGGCGAAAGCCUGAUCCAGCAAUGCCGCGUGUGUGAAGAAGGCCUUCGGGUUGUAAAGCACUUUUGUCCGGAAAGAAAUCCUUGGCUCUAAUACAGUCGGGGGAUGACGGUACCGGAAGAAUAAGCACCGGCUAACUACCUUCCUGCCACCGCCCUCAUAAAU